GCCUCUAUAGCUCUAAUUGGCUAGAGUGCGGCUCUCGUAAAGCUGAGGUUGCGUGUUCGAAUCACGCUGGAGGCA